rnacentral:ncRNA from 1 species
AACCAUUCUCGGGGCGGGGCGCAAUUCCCCACCGGCGGUAAUGGCGGCGCGAGCUGCCUAGCCCGCGAGCGCUCCGGCCACAAGCCGGAGGUCAGCAGAUCCGGUUGGAUUCCGGAGCCGACGGUAUAGUCCGGAUGAAAGAGAAGGGUA